GGUAAGAAAUUAUGUUUUGAAAGCCCUACGUUAGUGUCCCGUACGUGUAUUAAAGCCCUUACGGUAUUAAUGUUCUUAGAGUUUAGUAACUGAGGUUGCUUGUUGUAAUUUAGAGCUGUUUAUGCUGCUGCGAAAAUAAAAUUCGAGUUGAG